UACGUAGGGUGCGAGCGUUGUCCGGAUUUAUUGGGCGUAAAGAGCUCGUAGGCGGUUCGUCGCGUCUGUCGUGAAAGCCCGCGGCUCAACUGCGGGUCUGCGGUGGAUACGGGCGGACUGGAGUCCGACAGGGGAGACUGGAAUUCCUGGUGUAGCGGUGGAAUGCGCAGAUAUCAGGAGGAACACCGGUGGCGAAGGCGGGUCUCUGGGUCGGUACUGACGCUGAGGAGCGAAAGCGUGGGGAGCGAACAGGAUUAGAUACCCCAGUAGUCC
rnacentral:rRNA from 1 species